CUUCCCCAGCCCGCGGCCGCCUCCCGGUGUCCCCCGCCUUCUCGAGCGCGGCCGGCCGGGCCGCGCAGCUGUUUCGCCACAGUUUGCGGGGUGCAUUCCUCCCCACGCCCUGGGCGUCAUGGAAACCGCCAGGUUAACUGCGGGCCCGGCACCGACCUUUAGGUUCAUCGGCUCCCCGCGAAGAGCGAUCCCCUGCGCCCCUGCGAGGUGCGGGACCUGGGCACGGCAGCUGCCCCAGGAGCGCGUGCGGGGACCCGGGUCCCCGCAGAGAUCUGGAGAAUCCGAGGCGGUUCCGAUUCUGCUCGGGCUCCCAACCUGGCUGAGUUCUCAGUGUAAAGAGGUUUAUGGGUUUCUCUUCUGGUUGCGCCCCUGAGUUAAAUGGAAAUGUGGAACACUCGCUCAUCUGGCCGCUGUCCCCGCGGACCUGGGCUUAUCUUGGAGAAUUCCAAGUGGCGCUGCAAUUUCUUGAUGGGUUCAUUUGGCUUCCAGGUUGGGACUCGAGGGCGGUGAGGUGAGGAGAGAACCUAAGAAGCGGCCGGUGCAGUGUGUCUGUCGCGAGGGUCUGGCUCUGUGCCUGUUCUGGGAAGAGGUCUUUGCACCCUCGUAGAGCCAGGCUGCCAUCUGCCGCUGUCAGCACAUGCAGACGGUGCACCUUCAACUGUCCCGGCGUGAAAGCCAGGCCUCCGGAGCAGGGGUGGCGGUUUGCUCUCAUCCCUUUCAGCCCUGGCCAGGAAUGGUCCCUUGGGUCCAAACUCCAGGGAUCGAACUCACGACCGCCUGCUUGCAAGGAAGGUGCUUAUGCCGCUGAGCUAAAUCCUCAGCCCGACUUGAACUUAAUUGCACAUCACCACCGGAGAGGAGAUCCAACAGGCUUUCAGAGGAGGGAAAAACUCAAUUCAUAAAAAGUUUUUUGAAAACAAAGGUACAAAUAUAAUCAGAGUUCUCAAACCUGGAAUCUGAAAGUCCGUGGAACAAUACCUUCUGAAGGAAAAGUAUUUCCUGCCUAGAAUUCUAUACCUAAACUAUCAAGAAGUAUAAGGGAAGGGCCCAUUUUCAGACAUGCGGAGUUAAAAAAAAAAGGCACCUCCUGACCAUCCCUUUUAGGAAGCUGCUAAAGGGUAUGCUCCAGCAGAGCGAGGGAAGAAACCUAGAAAGAGUAAGAUGCAAGACAGAGUAAAUAGGGACUCCAGUACAAAAGCUGUGCCAGUGGGAAACACCAUACCAGACGGAAGUCCCAGCAGCCAGGGAACAAUGUGGCAGGCACGGGAAGCGAUGUGUGCAGACUGAAGCUGGUCAGAAGACUUCAGGGAAGAUCUAUUCCAUAGGACAGAACUGUGCUGAAAAUAUGAAGAGGAGGUUUACACACCCGGGGAAAAACGAAGGGUGCUAACGACAGAACUAAAUAAAUAGGAAGCAUUAGAAAGGUGUGACAUAGGCACAAUCAUAGUAAUGCAGACUCCAAAGGUUUGUAUCAUAAAGUCAUUAUUUUGGUUGAUACAGCUUUAUUGGGAGGAUGGGGGGAAUGGAAAGUGGGCACAUGUGGAUAGCUGAGAUGUGGGUGGGGCAAAGGGAGUUGACCCAUGGUCUGCCAUGUUGAAAAGACUAUGGCUUGUAAAUGCCUGACAUGGAGAAAAUUAGAAGUAUCAAUAAUACUCAUGUCGGGGGCUGGGGAUUUAGCUCAGUGGCAUAAGCGCCUGCCUUGCAAGCAGGCAGUCAUGAGUUCGAUCCCUGGUACUGAUAAAAAGGAAAAAGACAAAAAAAAAAAAACCAAUACUCAUACUAUUCUACACAAUACUCAUGCUAUUCAGACAUUAGAAGUAAAUGUCAAAAGAAUCAUUUGAUGCAAGUUGAAAAUCAGUGUGGGGUGGAGGUCAGUCAGGAAAGGGAGAUAGGCAACUGAUAUUUGUGACACAGCUAUUUGCUCCUUUCAACUGGAUUAACUUAGUUAUCAUUAUUUAAAAUUUAAGUCAAGUGUAAUGGAGAGGAAGUUGCCGAGGCUGAUGGGUGAUGUUGAGGGACAUGGUCAUCUCCAUUCUGGAUUUGAUAAUGCUGGUUCUGAGAUGGGUACUCACGACCUCCAUUCCGGGAAUUCAGAGGCCAUCUCCCUUCAGGUGAAAUGUGGCCUCCAACCUCAUACAGGGGCACUGCCUCAGAAAACUGGGAUGUGUGGUUGCCCUAGGUUUUGCUUUUGUUUUUACCUUUCCGUGACUUUUUUUUUAAUUUUGCUCCUAAUAUCUUUAACACUUGUGGAUCCCACAGUGUCUUACCCUUUCCGCUUAUAAGUCAAUAUCUGUGCCAUCACCCAAAGUAUCAUGAAAAGGUGGUCUCCUCUGGAAUCUGUGAACAAAUCCCGUGCCAGCUCCCAGUCAUUGAAACUUGAAGACUGGGAACUUCCUGGAGCCCUCCCUGUGCUUGGUUCAGACUCCUGUGGCUUCUCACUUGGUCCCACACGGCCACUACCUCAUCCUUCUUCUUCCUUCUGAAUCACUGCCAAGUGCUGCUUCAUGGGACUUUCUGGAUUUACCCAGGUCACUCCCCUGACUCAAGUCCUCCAGGGGCUGCCUCUGGCCUCAGAGGGCUCCCACUCCUCAGUUUAACACACAGGGCCUUUAUGACACUGCUCUGGCCACAUCUCCCAGAACCACCUUCUCCCUCUUUUUGCUCCUGACUGAGUCACCCGCAGCCCCCAGCAGCAUUAUGAACCCAUCAUGCCAUGCAGGUGCAAUACCUCACAAUGCAGGGCAGAUAUCACCUCCUCCAGGAAGCUUGCUGCAGCCCCAAGUGUGGACCACAGGCCUUUUCCUCACCGGGAAGUGCAUUUGGAUGGCAGUUUUGGUUACACUCUAACAUCAUUAUUUAUUAUAUUAUUCAAGUCAUC